rnacentral:rRNA from 1 species
AGAAUCAACGCUGGCGGCGUGCCUAACACAUGCAAGUCGCACGAGAAAGGGACUUCGGUCCUAAGUACAGUGGCGCACGGGUGAGUAACACGUGAAUUAUCUACCUCCGAGUGGGGAAUAACUGAGAGAAAUCUUAGCUAAUACCGCAUAACACUUACGAGUCAAAGCAGCAAUGCGCUUGGAGAGGAGUUCGCGGCAGAUUAGUUAGUUGGCGGGGUAAUGGCCCACCAAGACGAUGAUCUGUA